rnacentral:rRNA from 1 species
UCUGGUGCCAGCAGCCGCGGUAAUUCCAGCUCCAAUAGCGUAUAUUAAAGUUGUUGCAGUUAAAAAGCUCGUAGUUAAUUUUCUGUUAAUUAUUAUAUACAAUGCUACGGUAUUUAUAUAAUAUUAACAUAAUUCAUAUUACUUAUUAGUAUAUGAAACUUUACUUUGAGAAAAUUAGAGUGCUUAAAGCAGGCUAUUGCCUUGAAUACUCCAGCAUGGAAUAAUAUUAAGGAUUUUUAUUCUUCUUAUUGGUUCUAGAAUAAAUAUAAUGAUUAAUAGGGACAGUUGGGGGCAUUUGUAUUUAACAGUCAGAGGUGAAAUUCUUAGAUUUGUUAAAGACAAACUACUGCGAAAGCAUUUGCCAAGGAUGUUUUCAUUAAUCAAGAACGAAAGUUAGGGGAUCGAAGACGAUCAGAUACCGUCGUAGUCUUAACCAUAAACUAUGCCAACUAGAGAUUGGA